rnacentral:tRNA from 1 species
GAUGGGUGGUGGAGUUCGGCAGCCCGGCCUGCUGGGCCAGUUCGGUCAGUGCCACGCUGCUGUGAGACUCAGCAAUCCAUUC